GACAGAGGGUGCAACCGUUGUUCGGAAUUACUGGGCGUAAAGCGUGCGCAGGCGGUAAUGUAAGACAGAUGUGAAAGCCCCGGGCUUAACCUGGGACCUGCAUUUGUGACUGCAUUGCUAGAGUACGGUAGAGGGGGAUGGAAUUCCGCGUGUAGCAGUGAAAUGCGUAGAUAUGCGGAGGAACACCGAUGGCGAAGGCAAUCCCCUGGACCUGUACUGACGCUCAUGCACGAAAGCGUGGGGAGCAAACAGG
rnacentral:rRNA from 1 species